GCUCGCGCUACAACGCCACCGCUGUGGACUUGAGUGAGUCGCCAUGUUGUUUAUUGCUCGGAAUGAGUGAAGCGGCCAGUUUGUUUUAGGCCUUGACGCACCGAAGCAACGCCUCGGACCCGCAACGUAAAGGGGGAAGUGUGCUGAUGGUGUCAGACUAUAUACAGCCGACCAAAUGAGAUUGACCAGAAUACCCCCAGCUCAGAGGUUAAAGCCUCACUCCAAGGCCACUCUGCCAGCAAAUUCUUGGAGCAGAUCCCAACCUGGUACGGCAUGCUAGUCUCCAGUACCACACAUCCUAACCAGUGACAGAGUAAGAACAGAACAUUCUGGACUCGCAGAGUUCAUUAACCAAUGUGGAGCAUGCCCAUCCAACUGUGAAUUGCAAAAAAAUCUCAAAAACAGCCCGUCUUUAAUUCAGUUACAGUUAAAGUGUUACAUCCCUGUCCUUUGAUUGCAUGAAAUCGGAAACUAAUACCUACACACUGAUGAUGUUUUUAUGUUUUUCCCUAUGUUUUUUUAAGUGUCUAUUUUGUCUUUCUGUCUGACAAUUAUUAGUUGGGUGAGGCCAUCAGCAAAGAACAUUUUCUUUCUCUUCCCCCUAAUGAACAGGAUUGUAAUUAUCCAAAUAAACCUCCUCACCAGUAGGGGGCAUGUUCCGUCCAUACUCUUCCCACUGACAGAACCAGGUGAAACAGAGGGGUGCAUGGGAUUUUAAAUGACACCAAAAACUAGCCACCACUGGAUUCAUGGAUCCGUUCUAUUAGCCCAUUCAAGAGACCAACUGGUCACACUGGCUGUCAGACACUGUUUUAUCGGUAGAGAGGGAACAACAGUUAAAUGGAAAUGCCACAACUCACAGCGGUGUCCACGAAUCAAGUUUACAACUGCGAGGAUCGUCCCGCACCCAGCCAGGGCUGUCAGAACGCCAUGCAGCGUCAUUUAUGGUAGACAUUUACGACUGGCUUCUAGGUGCUUUAUGUCUUUCAGUAAAUAGCUUAGAAUAACGACUUUGUACCAAGCAGAACGCUUAAACUUCAGGCAAACCCAAAUCAGCACUGUCUGUAGGAUUGUACGUAGUACAAAUUAAGUUGCUAUGUAGGUAGGAUGAUGAGUUCACAUUUUACCAAGAAGAAAAAAAAAAUCCCAGAGCACCAGAAUAAUGGCAUACAGUAAGUCAUUUUUAUUUUGUGCAGCAGUUUCAUACAGCAGCGAUGCAUCCUGAUGUGGCGUACUGGGGCUCACGCUCUUACUGCUGGGAUGAUUUAGGCCUUUUGGGACGAGUGGGGAGCGCCACAAAGCCGCAACGGGCCUACUAUCCCUGAGACGGGUGGGGGGUAGGCCUGGUGGAAGAUAAGAAGAGGACUGGAAUGCUUUGCUAGAGGUUCUGAGUGGGAAACAGCUACAUAAAUAUAAACCUAUAUAAUGUUAUACAGUGAAAAAAAUGCUGUGAAAAAGAAUGUCCCCCUUCUAUUAUUGCAUGUGUGUCACACUGAAUGGUUUCAGAUGUCUAAUAACUUUUUUUCAGAUGUUUAAUGGUAACUUUUUUCAUUAAAUAAAUUCAAUUCACCCUUUUUUUUUUGUUUGAUUCCAAUUCCUGUCUGGCCCUUCUGGUUUGUUUGCUGAUUAGAUCUUGUGUAUGACUACUGACUCUCUUCGACUCCGAUUCUUGCCUUAGGCCUUCUAUUUUGUUUGCCCCAUGAUUUUGGGUUUCUGACCAUUCGCUCUCAUAUUCGAUUUGAUCACAUGCCAUGCUUUCAUUUAUACUGUAAUACUGAGCCUUCCCAAACUGUGAUGAAUCUUUAAGCAUACUGACUUUAAUGAAGAGUCAUUA